GACUGGAGCUCUGGAUAAAGGAGUAUGCUCAACUCCAGGGGGUGGCGACUGCACCAGUGUUUAAAGGGGUCCCCUAGACCUAGAGGAAUUGAUUUGAAGGCGGGGCUGCCUUUGAAGUUUCCAAGAAACCUACUGGGGAAUGAAUAUGGGCAGAGGUGGCUGAGCUUUGAGAAAGGUCCUGAGAUGGUAAAAACAGGCAUUUCUCAAUUACACAAGGAGUGAAAGAACGUAACCACUUUACCAGAUGAUGCUAUUCUGAUUCACUGCACUUCGAUGGAGAGGAAAAUCGUCUACCCACUGUCGUUCCCUAAUCAUGAAAAACAAACAAAAACAACACUGUUGAAAUUCAGAUUGUUCUGAAACAAAUAUGACACAUCUAUGAAAGCUACACAUCACGGUAAACUGAACCAUUUACGCAGUGAUUACAUUGCAUACUAUUUGCAUAUAUCAUUUAAACCAAUUGUUUAACAUUAGCAUAUAGGCUAUUAAAGGCAAAGUGAAGUGAA